rnacentral:rRNA from 1 species
UACGUAGGGGGCAAGCGUUUAUCCGGAAUCAUUGGGCGUAAAGCGCGUGUAGGCGGUUCCGUAAGUCCGCUCUGAAAGCCCAGGGCUCAACCCUGGGAGGCGGGUGGAUACUACGGAACUGGAGUACGGAAGAGGAGAUUGGAAUUCCUGGUGUAGCGGUGAAAUGCGUAGAGAUCGGGAGGAACAUCAGUGGCGAAGGCGGCCAUCUGGGACAACACUGACGCUGAAGCACGAAAGCGUGGGGAGCAAACAGG